AUGGAGCAAUUACCAAGUCCAGGAGGAAUAUUUCCACUGAAUUCGUUAAUACUGAGUUCAAGCACAGAAAAGGAUGGUGCGCUGAGACAGAGUGUAGUUGGUAGCUGCCCAGUAAAACUAUUGGUGCUGGCAUUGAGUACAACCAGGCUCUUCAUCACCCCCCAUGUUGUGGAUGGAAACCUCCCUGUAAACAAGUUGCUUGAGAUGUUCAGUACCUGCAGAGGCCGUGCAGGGGUUGAAGAUGGCAGCUCGCUCGGGGCUCCUGUCAGGCGGUUGAAACUGACGUCAAGGACAAUGCUGCUGCUGGAUGACACCAAUUCCAGCGGCAAGCCACCUGACAGUGAGUUGCACGACAGGUUGAGGUGCAACAAGCCUGUGAGAUUUCCAAGGAACGGCGAGAUAGACCCCUCGAAGCCUUGGGAAGCCAGCGAAACAUCAGUGACCGUCCUAUUCAGGCUGCAGGUGAUCCCUUCCCAAGUGCAGCAAUUGGUAUCGCUCCCCCACGAUUCCGCGAGGCCACCGUCCUGCGAGAACCCUUCAAGGAGCUGGAGAAGGGAGCUCUUCUCCUGCUCCGUGCAGGAGCUGGUCAGAGGGGCCAAGGAUAUCAGCAGCACGAGAGCCAAUCCAAGACAAGGCAAGGGAAAUCUGCCCUUGUUUGGGCAAUCGUGUGACCGCAUGGCUUUCUGA
rnacentral:rRNA from 1 species